AUGGGUGGGGAAGAGUGUGUUUCUGGCAAGAAAAGAGGAAAAGGCAAAGCAGAGAAGGUAAUGCUGGGUGACAGACACAAGGAUGGACCUUCCUUAGGGUCCCAGGACUCCCGCAGAGGGGCCCGGAUCUACACAGAUCCCGUAAGGGAAUUUACCAGUAAGGGCACCAGUAAGGGAAUUUACAAGGGGCAGUUGGUCCCUCACUCCAGGACUUCCCUCUAUGGUCUGGCAGCCAAGUUCCCGUGGGUUCUCCAGGUGAGGGCUCUGAGAGCUGCUGUCCAAGCAGCAGUGGAAAGCAAGGCUGGCAGACCCCCCAGAUUCCCAAGAUUUCACCACUGUCCCUGGUAUGUUGGCUGGGCCUGCCUCACUUUUUCCCCUCCUUCUGACUCUCAGAAAGGGAUGCCAGCCUGUCUGCCCUGUCUGGGAGACUUCCGCUGCAUUUCUGAGAAGUCCUGGCUAUUGAGAAGCACCUCCAAGCCUGUGGUACCCCUCCAAUUCAAUCACGCUGCAGGAAGGAUAUGUGUCCCCUGUUUGCACCUUGACAGGGCUUCUGGACCUUGAUACAGCAAGAAGUCAAAGAGAAGCAUUCAUCUCCUUGCAAAUGGGACCCACCUCUCCACCUUGGAGCAUGGACCAAAUACAGCUGAGAGCUCCAAUGGGAAAAACUGAGUAUGGUUCUGCAGACACAUACAGGCCUUUGCCUCUAGAUCCCCUUGAGUUCACUCCCCAGGAGCAUUCGACAAAUAUGCACAGCUACGAGGCUGUCCAAGGAAUGCAGCCGUCUCAGUCAUUCAUUACCAAGGCUCAAAACCACUGGGCAGGAAGAGCAGACAGAGAGAUCUGGGCAGGAUCUGUCUCUGAUGAGGUUUGGAAACGGGAGAUGCCCCUGACUAGGCAGGCUGAAUUGAUGUGGUCUGGCCUAGGGGCAAGGGAAUGGACAGAAUGACCUUCAUAGCUCUCGGCCCAGCCCGGUGGGUCUAUGAAAAGAGACGUUUGAUUCAUUCUCAGGCUCUACCCAAGUGACUCUGAAAUAUUCCUAGACAGUUGCCAGGAGAGUCAAUGGUGGGUGAAACAAAGAUUCAGGAGCCAAGAUUCCCAGUUUCCAGCCAUUCCCUUCUGCCCUCUCCUGUGUUUUCCUUUAUGUCUGUUUGCUGGCUUCCCUUCUCUGAUAAACUGUAAGACCCCUGAGGGCAGAGGCUCUUUCUCUUUCUUCCCCCUCCUGCCAAGCUGUGCUGGGUUGCCUUAAGAAGACUUACUGUUUAACUCAAGGUCAUUUCUCUGAGUCGCAACUUGUCAGCCACGGGACUAUGGAGAAGAUGAGCUGAUCAGCAGUGGUGAGA
rnacentral:lncRNA from 1 species